CCAGAAGCUGCGUCAGCUGCCCAGCCAGAAGCUGCGUCAGCUGCCCAGCCAGAAGCUGCGUCAGCUGCCCAGCCAGAAGCUGCGUCAGCUGCCCAGCCAGAAGCUGCGUUUUCAUCACAGCCACCAGUCCAGCCAGCUGUUCAGUCGCCCUCAGCAGCCCAGUCUCCUGUGUUGCCACUAGUCCAGCCAUUAGCGCGGCCUGCACCUCAGCCAUUAGCGUGGCUGGCAGUUCAGUUAACUACACAGGUUGCAGCUCAACAGUCUAUUCAGCCACUAUGUCCACCCACUCAUUCUAAGGAGGAGGAUAGCCCUGCUAAGACUUUUGUUGUUCCUCUAGACCUGGCCUAUUUAGAGACUGUUACUCUCUCCAGGGUGUCCCCAGAGGCUGAAGCCCUCAGUUAACUCUGGACACGAAGAAGCCAGCGCAACCUGUUUCUCCUGGGAACUCAUUCGGGUUGUCUCAGUGACUGGUCCCUGCUGAGAGGUCAGGGGAGUUAACUCUGCCACCGUUCUAUGCUGGAAGCUCUAGUGAGCUCAUUCGGCCAGCUAAGGACUGCAUCCUGCUGUUACUGCCUGAGCAGAGCCUCUGUCCUGCGCAGCUCCAAUCAGCUUCAUCUCUGUUCCCCGUGGUCGGCCUCCAGACCUCUCUCGUCUCUGUCACUGGCCUCCGCGUCGGCCUCCUGAAUGGUCUCAUGACAGCUUUCAAAUGAACCUUAAAGAUUUUCCCAGGAAUACCUCAAAUAACAACCGUACCUCAGACUUCAUUUUAAGAAAAUUUAAAUGAUACAGUGGAAAGUUUCUGCCUCUGUGAUUAUCUGCCUAAGACUGUAAAUCUUUUCUACCAUCACCUGAAGAACACCUGAAGUCAGAUCAAUUAAAGUGUAGGAUGCUGCUGAUGGCCACGUGAAGACUUGUUUUCAGAACUGAAGGAGGAAGUUUAGGAAAACCAGCACAUGAUGUAGAGAAAUUUCAGCACUGUGGCUCGACAGGAGCAGGUCCUGCCUUACCUGAACACCUUUGUCAGUGAUGGAGCUUCCUGUUUGUA
ensembl:lncRNA